rnacentral:lncRNA from 1 species
CACCACUCAUCAACCAACGCCUCCCAACAAUCCAUCUUAUCGCACACCAUCUCGAGGGCACCUGUAAGUUAUUAGAAAUAAUUUUCAGCGCUACGCCUAUGAAUGAGAUCAAGAAAACUACGUAGAAGGACUUAAGAAUAGGUAAUUACCUUCAUGUAUUGCUCCUUCUUCAGAAACUUUUCGCGGCAAUCCUUCUUCUGCUUCUUAAUACCACGCGUGGCGUAGUAAUCUCGAAUAGCCUGCAGCCGAGCCUCGUGGCGCAAGUUCUGUAGUAACCACCUACACUCGGCCUCGAGAACCCUGGCCGCCUCCUCCUCAUAUCC